GAUGAAGAACGCAGCGAAAUGCGAUAAGUAAUGUGAAUUGCAGAAUUCAGUGAAUCAUCGAAUCUUUGAACGCACAUUGCGCCCGCCAGUAUUCUGGCGGGCAUGCCUGUUCGAGCGUCAUUUCAACCAUCAAGCCCCCGGCUUGUGUUGGGGACCUGCGGCUGCCGCAGGCCCUGAAAACCAGUGGCGGGCUCGCUAGUCACUCCGAGCGUAGUAAUACAUCUCGCUCAGGGCGUGCUGCGGGUUCCGGCCGUUAAAAAGCCUUAUUUACCCAAGGUUGACCUCGGAUCAGGUAGGAAGACCCGCUGAACUUAAGUAUAUCAAUAAGCGGAGGA
rnacentral:misc_RNA from 1 species